AACGGAAAAUGACAACACACUUUCCUAAUUACACAACCUACAAUUAGAUAUAAUCCUGAUAGGUAACUGCCAAAUGUUAUUUUCCAUGAAUAACUGUCAUCGUGCACUUUCAAAUACAGAACUAAUGCUUAAUUACUAAUACGAGUAAGUUAUUUCAUAUCACAUAUACUCCUAAUAAUAAUUGCCUCCAAUCCAUCAAUAGAUCCUUCCUAACCCACUUGAAUUUUGGCUCCCAUCAUAUCACCAACUUACCUUUUAUUGAUAGUACAAGUUUAUAUGAUAUUUCCAGAUUCAAGGAAAACUGUACCUUAGAAUUGACCAUAAAGGUGAAGGUGCUAAUUGGUGUCGCACAGUUGGGCAGGAAUUAUAUUCACCAUUGCUGUUGGCCUUCACAGAACAGGAAGGAGACAAUUGGUUGCAUUUCAUUCCAUCAACAUUUUCUGGCAUAGAUUCUUCCUACAGUUUACCUGACAACACUGCUCUUUUAACCCUCCAGGAAUUUAAAAAUGGAAAAGUACUCCUAAGAUUGGCUCACCUUUAUGAGAUUGGAGAGGACAAAAAUUACUCAGUAACGGCAAGUGUGGAAUUGAAAAAAUUGUUCCCUAACAAGAAGGUAAGAGUGAUAGCUAACCACUCCAAGUUAGUUUUUUUCACACAUGUACUCGUGUAUAGUUUCCUUUUUGACAACUCAACCUUUUCACAUAAAUAAAGCAACAGAGAUGAGUUUGUCUGCUAAUCAAGAAAGAGCUGUAAUGGAAACGAGGAAGCUAAAUUGGAAGGUAGAAACCUGUUGAUCCUAUGAAGUUGGUGGUCGAACUUGCUCCAAUGGAGAUUCGAACAUUCUUUAUUGAAUUUGAUCCCCUCCAAACAGUUCCUGAAGCUGAAAAUCAUGUGGCAAUGUAGCAAAGCAUCCAACACAGUAGCAUCUAUGCAUUGUCCGGCUGUAAUAUGAUAUUCCCAUGGAAUAUAUGUUUUAUUGUUGUAGUGCCCUCAACAUGUUGCUGGAAAAUGUGUAUUUCUGUAUAAGCUUUUGUAAACAAAUAAAAAGUUCUGUAACUUGAGUCUCGGUGACUAUUAAUAUAAGAGUUGCACACACUAAAA